UGUCUCGUGACGUCAGAACAGGCUGUUGUUGUUGACCACAGUGCGCUUUUUAGCAUUGAUCUUUGCGCUCUUUCCUCUCAAUUGGCCUGUUUUUAAAUUAAUUCACCCUGUCAUGGUGUUUACCUGCGUCAUCCAGGGCUGCGGGAAAAGACCCGAGCCGUACGCGAGGAGCCUGCACGGAUUCCCGAAUAACCUGGAGACAAUAAAAGCCUGGAACGAGUUCGUGAAGCGGACCAAACCGCACUGGAACGGCAACACUCCUUCAUCGAGGAUCUGCAGCGAGCAUUUCCAGCCGACAUGUUACAGAAACCACAUGGCCUGGUCGAUGGGAUGCGUCAGGACCCUGGAUCUGAUCGAUGACUUUCAGGUGCCAACGAUUUAUCCUGCUGUGGCUGAGAAAAAUGCUCCAUCGCCCACCAAGGAUAAUCCCAAAGCAGACAUGCGCAUACAGACCCCAGCAGGUAGAUCCACCCUGCGAGCAGCAGAGGAGAUAAAACAGGAGGAGGAAACGCACUGCUCAGGAUCCACAGACACCCUUAUACAGGGAUGUCAUGUAAAGACUGAGUACCAGGUGAUGUACUUUGUAAGACAUGCGGCGACCCAGACGGACCCUCCAUCCAUUGCCACAAACACACGAUCAGUCGGCACACAGCUGACCAGGUUAUCCCGAAGUACAGGUUCACAGGUGAAAAUGGGUCGAGAUUAUGGUGUCUGUACAGUUCCCUUAAAAACUCCUCAGCUGCUCUUACAACCCACUUUGGUAAAAAGACCAUCUAAGAGACUUCGAUUUGCCCUGGAAUAUGAGGAGGAACUCAUCACAUCGACAGCAGUUCAGGUCAAAACCAGUUCAUCGUGAACCUACGGACCGUUUGGGUGCAGCAGAGAAUAUAAAAGAAUGUCAUGUAAAGUCUGAGUACCAGGUGAUGUACUUUGUAACACAUGUGGCGUCCCAAACCGACCCUCCGUCCAUUUCCCCAAACACACCAUCAGUCGGCACACAGGUGACCAGGAUACCCCGACAAAUUAAAGUUCAAACUACAUGCUCACAAGUGAUAUUUAACAGUCAACAUCACAUUAUCUGCACAGACCCCUUAAAGUCACCACUGCUGCUCCUACAACCACCUCUGGUAAAAAGACCAUCCAAGAGACUUCGACUUGAACUGGAAUAUGAGGAGAAAGCAGUUGAGGACAAGACCAGUUCAACAUGAACCUGUGGACCAUUCUGGUGCAGCAGUCAUACCUCUUGGAACAGAGAACAAAAAAAGCAGAUGUCCAUGUAGCUUUUGUCUUUGGUGCAGGGAAAAUAUUUAUUCAGCACCUUGUCAUAAAUGACAUAAAACUAGGUUUUAUGCCACCACUAGAAACUGCAAUGCUUGCUGGCAAUAUGUAUUGGAUACAUAUUGCCCUUCCAAUAUGCAAGGCUGUGUUACUAUUGCACAAUUACUGCUGCAUGUUUUGUAAUGUUCACUGUGAUAAAAACUACAAGAACUACACACAUUUCUGUUCUGCAGAAGUCAUGCGUUUCCGGUGGAAAUGCUGAAGGAAUCACCCAGAUGAGUGUCACAAUUCAGGAGUCUCAGCAAGUCCUGGAAGCUGGUGUGUGCAGAUGCACUAAGACUUAGAUCCCUCAUUAGUUUGAAGUUUUGACCUUUUCAUAAAGGCCCAGCUUUCCUUUUAAUUUUUAUGCCGUAGAUUGGAGUUAGUAGAAACUUUUACAUGAUUGUUAAACUUCCUAAUACUACCACAGCCACCUCACUAUGAAUUACUUGAGAAGUUGUUUUCAGUAGUUAGAUAUCACCUAAAUAUCUGCUUUAUAAAUAAGCAAAUGAAAACUUUAAAUUUUGCUUUGAUGAGAAUUAAAAUAUAAAAUGCAUGUUUGAUAGGUUAGGCCC